UUUCCGAAGAAUACCAUACACCAAGAUCUACAAAUUAUAUGUUUCAUACAAGAGCUUUCUAGUGGAAAAAAUAUCAGUACAACACAUUCAAUUGCCAAACCACUUGGUGAAGCAGGUCGUACUAUAAAACCUCCGGAGGUUAAUACGGUCAUUUAUUCAACUUUAAGACAGAACUAAAUGGAUGAAACUACAAAAGAACGACUGAAGAUCAUGGGAGCAAAUACAGAUACUUUAGACAUUAAUAAAUUAUUGUUAAGAGACAUAAAGCUUAGUACAUUAUUGUUAAGAGACAUAUAACUUCAGAUAAUAUUGAUUCACAAUUUAAAUAAAAGUAGUGUUCAUUGCAAA